UACGUAGGUGGCAAGCGUUUGUCCGGAUUUACUGGGCGUAAAGCGCGCGUAGGCGGGUCGUUAAGUCGGGGGUGAAAUCCUGGAGCUCAACUCCAGAACUGCCUUCGAUACUGGCGAUCUUGAGUCCGGGAGGAGGUGAGUGGAACUCCGAGUGUAGAGGUGAAAUUCGUAGAUAUUCGGAAGAACACCAGUGGCGAAGGCGGCUCACUGGCCCGGUACUGACGCUGAGGUGCGAAAGCGUGGGGAGCAAACAGG
rnacentral:rRNA from 1 species